AAAUUUGGAGGCACCGCUGAGAUGUAUUUUCAUGUGAGCACCGGCCCAUAUUCCUGGAACGGACAACGAGUGAGAGACAUUGGGAGAGUAGCUAGCUAACGUUAGCAGGCUAACCACCUAACGGAGUGUAGCUAUCUUGCCAUUGCCUGCAUUGUCGUUGUUGCCACGUGAGUAGGACAAUAUGAGUCGAGAGAGGGAAACGUUGGAUGAAAUCGAACAGAGUUUAUGGACUUUAACUGAGGACAAUUUACGGCACCUGUGUGUAGUUGUGGAAUAGGAGGUGUAGAUGACUGAAGUAAAAGGAAAGAGACAUCGCGCUUUGCGGCGCAAAUUGAUGGAAGAUUACUGUGAGAAGGAAGAUUUAAUGGAAUCAGAGGAUGAGGGAGUGUCUUGCCUGCUUCAACUGAAAGACGAAAUCAAAGGAAUAUCGGACUCUGAGGAUACUGUGAAAGUCUGCCUUACAAAUCCCAACCAGUCGGCGCCACGAGGCAAGUGGACAGCAAUAUGGAACGCCGUUUGAGUCUUUGCGUGUCAAAAAGAUACACGUCAAAUAACACUAUUUGACACGUCAAAUAAGCUUCUUUAGCAAUCAGGACCUGAAUAUGACUCCAGGUCACACAAUAAUUUAACACGUUCAUUAAUUUUGUACGUAGUUAUUGCACAUUGAUUACAUUCUCACUCGUAUUUCAUAUGCCACAAAGAUUCACCGAUACAUAUGCUAUGAGUCAAAGAUUUUGGCACUGAUGAUCACAUUUGCUUAAAGGUCGUUUGGACUCCGCCCAGGUCUCAGGUACUGAUGAAAGACUUUCACUCAACUUCUGUUCUUCCGAGGUAAAAUUAGCUAGUUAGUUAACAAUAGCAGCCCAAUUUCUUGAAAAUUGUAAAUCUACCAUCUCUGAUUGCACACCAGACUGCUGCUCACGGACAGAAGAGAUGGACUUCAACCAUCAAUAGCCAGUGUCCUGUCAAGCGCCUUUGGAGGGGAGGCGGUAUCACAUCACCAAGGAGCAGCUUGAGUUCCUCAUAGAUUGUCAUAUGACCAUCAGACAAAUGGCAGAUGUUCUCAAUGUGUCGCACUCUGUGGUCAAGUUGCGCAUGAGGUGUAGCAUUGUUAUCCAUGGUGCUGUGGAUGGUUACAGCAGACUUGUUGUGUUUCUGAAGGCCUCUGACAACAACAGGACCGCCACAGUCAUGGAGUCAUUCGAAGCAGCCAUCACCAGCUACGAAGUACCAUCCCAGGUGAGAUGUGACCGGGUGGUGAAAACAACCGCAUCUGUGCCUUCAUGGAGCAGUUCAGGUGUGCUGAGAGGGGAAGUGCCCUCCGAGGAAGGAGCACUCACAACCAGAGGAUAGAGCGGCUGUGGGGGGACGUCUGGCAUGGAGUCUCCGACGUUUACCAUGACCUGUUCACCUUCUUGGAGACGGAGCAGAUCAUCGACAUCAACAAUGAGGUGCACCUGUGGGCACUGCACUUUGUGUUCCUGCCACGGGUGAACAGAGAUCUUGCUGUGUUUGCCAGUCAGUGGAACCACCAUGGGCUGAGGACUGAACAACGGCAGUUGUUCGUCUCGGGUUCCCUGGCAAUGCAGAGGGCCAAUCGGACAGCAGUAAGGGAUUUCUUCGCCCCAAUUUCAACCACCAUCAGCUCUCAAGCC